GAUGAACGCUGGCGGCGUGCCUAAUACAUGCAAGUCGAGCGAACAGAUGAGGAGCUUGCUCCUCUGACGUUAGCGGCGGACGGGUGAGUAACACGUGGAUAACCUACCUAUAAGACUGGGAUAACUUCGGGAAACCGGAGCUAAUACCGGAUAAUAUAUUGAACCGCAUGGUUCAAUAGUGAAAGACGGUUUUGCUGUCACUUAUAGAUGGAUCCGCGCCGCAUUAGCUAGUUGGUAAGGUAACGGCUUACCAAGGCAACGAUGCGUAGCCGACCUGAGAGGGUGCGCGCCCACCUGGGACCUGAGCCGCGGUCCGGCCCCCGCGGGGAGGAAGAAGUAGGGAUUCUCCGGCAAUGGGAGAAGCCCGGACGGACAACCCCCAGGUGAGGGAGAAAGUUUUUGGUACCUAAAACCUUGUUUAUAGGGAAAAAAAAAAUUUGAAAGAAAAUAGGCACUUUUGGACGGUCCUUAAUAAAAAAGCCCGGGCAACCUCCGUC
rnacentral:rRNA from 1 species